AAAAUACCCGCGGCUCACCCCCCGGAAACCUCCUUCCCGACACCUGGCCGCGCUAGAAGUCCUUUUAGAGGGGGGGUAGAAUUCCCAGGUGGUAGCCGCUGAAAAUGCGUAGGAGAUCCUGGAGGGAAAUACCCGUUGGCGAAGGGCGGCCCCCCUGGCCAAAGACUGACGCUCAGGUGCGAAAGCCGUGGGGGAGCAAACAAGGAUUAGAUACCCUGGUAGUCCCCCCCGUUAAACGAUGUCGACUUGGAGGGUUGUGGCCCUUGAGGGCGUGGCUUCCCGGAGCUAACGCGUUAAGUCGACCGCCUGGGGAGUACGGCCGCAAGGUUAAAACUCAAAUGAAUUGACGGGGGGCCGCACAAGCGGUGGAGCAUGUGGUUUAAUUCGAUGCAACGCGAAGAACCUUACCUACUCUUGACAUCCAGAGAACUUAGCAGAGAUGCUUUGGUGCCUUCGGGAACUCUGAGACAGGUGCUGCAUGGCUGUCGUCAGCUCGUGUUGUGAAAUGUUGGGUUAAGUCCCGCAACGAGCGCAACCCUUAUCCUUUGUUGCCAGCGGUCCGGCCGGGAACUCAAAGGAGACUGCCAGUGAUAAACUGGAGGAAGGUGGGGAUGACGUCAAGUCAUCAUGGCCCUUACGAGUAGGGCUACACACGUGCUACAAUGGCGCAUACAAAGAGAAGCGACCUCGCGAGAGCAAGCGGACCUCAUAAAGUGCGUCGUAGUCCGGAUUGGAGUCUGCAACUCGACUCCAUGAAGUCGGAAUCGCUAGUAAUCGUAGAUCAGAAUGCUACGGUGAAUACGUUCCCGGGCCUUGUACACACCGCCCGUCACACCAUGGGAGUGGGUUGCAAAAGAAGUAGGUAGCUUAAAUCUUCGGGAAGGCAGCUACCACUUCGUACUAUUUUUUUGUUUAAGGU
rnacentral:rRNA from 1 species